GUAGGUGGCAAGCGUUGUCCGGAAUUAUUGGGCGUAAAGCGCGCGCAGGCGGUCCUUUAAGUCUGAUGUGAAAGCCCACGGCUCAACCGUGGAGGGUCAUUGGAAACUGGGGGGCUUGAGUACAGAAGAGGAAAGCGGAAUUCCAAGUGUAGCGGUGAAAUGCGUAGAGAUUUGGAGGGACACCAGUGGCGAAGGCGGCUUUCUGGUCUGUAACUGACGCUGAGGCGCGAAAGCGUGGGGAGCAAACAGGAUUAGAUACCCUGGUAGUUCACGCCGUAAACGAUGAGUGCUAAGUGUUAGGGGGUUUCCCGCCCCCUUAGUGCUGCAGCUAACGCAUUAAGCACUCCGCCUGGGGAGUACGGCCGCAAGGCUG
rnacentral:rRNA from 1 species